CCAAUAGCGUAUAUUAAAGUUGUUGCAGUUAAAAAGCUCGUAGUUGAAUUUCGGGAUCAGUACGCUGGUCGUGCCUUCGGUAUGUACUGGUGUCACUGAUUCCUCCCUUCUGACGAACCGUCAUGCUAUUAAUUUAGUGUGGCGGGGAAUCAGGACUGUUACUUUGAAAAAAUUAGAGUGUUUAAAGCAGGCUCACGCUUGAAUACAUUAGCAUGGAAUAAUGAAAUAGGACGUUGAUCUUAUUUUGUUGGUUUCUAGGAUUGACGUAAUGAUUAAUAGGGAUAGUUGGGGGCAUUAGUAUUCAAUUGUCAGAGGUGAAAUUCUUGGAUUUAUUGAAGACUAACUACUGCGAAAGCAUUUGCCAAGGAUGUUUUCAUUAAUCAAGAACGAAAGUUAGGGGAUCGAAGACGAUCAGAUACCGUCGUAGUCUUAACCAUAAACUAUGCCGACUAGGGAUCGGAUGAUGUUAAUUUUUUAAUGACUCAUUCGGCGCCUUACG
rnacentral:rRNA from 1 species